UUACGGCCAUAUCGCGUUGAAACACUGGUUCUCGUACGACCAGCGAAGUUAAGCAACGUCGAGCCUAGUCAAUAGCUAGGUGGGUAACCAUUUCGAAAUACCAACAACUG